UGAGAAAAGACAGAAGCAAAUGUAGUG
rnacentral:piRNA from 1 species